GACGAACGCUGGCGGCGUGCUUAACACAUGCAAGUCGAACGGAAAGGCCCUGCUUUUGUGGGGUGCUCGAGUGGCGAACGGGUGAGUAACACGUGAGUAACCUGCCCUUGACUUUGGGAUAACUUCAGGAAACUGGGGCUAAUACCGGAUAGGAGCUCCUGCUGCAUGGUGGGGGUUGGAAAGUUUCGGCGGUUGGGGAUGGACUCGCGGCUUAUCAGCUUGUUGGUGGGGUAGUGGCUUACCAAGGCUUUGACGGGUAGCCGGCCUGAGAGGGUGACCGGCAACAUGGGGACUGAGAUACGGCCCAGACCCCUACGGGGGGCAGCAGGGGGGAAUAUUGCACAAGGGGCGGAACCCUGAGCCAGCAACGCCGCGGGGGGGAGGCCGGCCUUCGGGUUGAAAACCGCUUUCGCCUGGGACGAAGCGUGGGUGACGGUAAUGGGAAAAGAAGCACCGGCUAACUACGU
rnacentral:rRNA from 1 species